UCGCAGGCCGAAAUAAUUGAACAUUUUGUAUGUUUUUCUGUGCUGUCUUAGGAAGAAGGACAGAUGUCAGGAGGAAAGAAACAUCUCCUACAUGAAGUGGGAAGAAAGUGAGGCUCACCCCUGGCUGCAUCCAGGGAAUGCUGAAAGAAGAAAAAGACCCAAGGCUACCCAGAGGAGAGUGAACAGCGGACCUCAAAUGAAGUCUGUGUUUUUGCCCUCAGCAUUCGGUGUUCCCAGGACUCACAUAUGUACUCUGAGACCCCCUGGUGGGGUCUGGGAGCUUCCAACUUCAUGUUCCCUGAUCCAUGAGCAGAUCUGAUCAUGGCUCCCACAGUUUUCAUCUAUAAGAUGGUUCCUAUGGGCCUUCUUUGGGUGGCAAGCUGCUUCCUGAAGUUUUACCAAUGAUCAUGGUGAAGUUCCUAUGUCAAAUAAUUUUGUUUCUAGAGGUUCAAUGUUUUCUGAUUUUCAUCUGGUUUGUAAAAGGGAGGUUACCUCAACAUUGUUUUUUCAGUAGAAAAAAAGUAUUUUUAAUGCAGUGUCUCAUGUAGUCCAUACUGACCUCAACUUUGCUAUGUAGCCAGAGAUGGCUUUGAACUUCUGAUUGUCCUAAGUGAUGGGAUUAUAGGCAUGUGCUACCGUGCCUGGUUUAUGCAGUGCUAAGGAUCAAACCAGGGCCUCAUGCCUGCAUGCUAGGCAAGUACUUUACCAGCUAUGUCCUCAGCCCAAUACAUUUUUAUAACAGCAAAUAGAUAAGAUUUAUUGGUCAUUUGCCACACAUGAAGCAUUGUUCUCAAUAUUUGCUUUUAUUAGUUCAUUUAGUUCUUUGAGUGGCCAGAUGAUCGUUGUCAAUUUUACAUAUUAAGAUAAGGAAACUUCAAGAACGGCUCUGUGGGUGGAUGCUUUGUGGUGCAAUAUGGUUAUUAAUGCUCAAGUUUACCUACAGGUUGUGAGUGUGUGUGUGUGUGUGUGUGUGUGUGUGUGUGUAGGUGUGCAUGUGCAUGCGUGUGGGAGGGGAAGAAGUGAAUAGGACACCCCCAGACCUUGUAGCAAGGGUUACAAACAGACAUGUGCUCUAGAGAGCCCCUAUCCUGGGUAGCAGAAUCAUGGCCUUCGUAUAUAACAAAGUUGUUGAUAUGGCUGGAGAUUGAGACAACAGGCCCACUGUCCUCUGUCCCGUGAGUGGCCUUGACGCAAGAAUGUUCAAGUUGAAAAUGAAAGCUGGACUGGACGCCAUACUGCAAAUGUCACCUCUGUAGAUCAGACACAGGACUUUGUUUUAAAAGGGUUGAUAACAUUUUCCCUGUUUUUCAUUAUUUGGU
rnacentral:lncRNA from 1 species